AUUGAACGCUGGCGGCAUGCCUUACACACGCAAGUCGAACGGCAGCACGGGAGCAAUCCUGGUGGCGAGUGGCGAACGGGUGAGUAAUGUAUCGGAACGUACCUUUCAGUGGGGGAUAACGUAGCGAAAGUUACGCUAAUACCGCAUAUUCUGUGAGCAGGAAAGCAGGGGAUCGCAAGACCUUGCGCUGAUUGAGCGGCCGAUAUCAGAUUAGCUAGUUGGUGAGGUAAAGGCUCACCAAGGCGACGAUCUGUAGCGGGUCUGAGAGGAUGAUCCGCCACACUGGAACUGAGACACGGUCCAGACUCCUACGGGAGGCAGCAGUGGGGAAUUUUGGACAAUGGGCGCAAGCCUGAUCCAGCCAUGCCGCGUGAGUGAAGAAGGCC
rnacentral:rRNA from 1 species